GAUGAACGCUGGCGGCGUGCUUAACACAUGCAAGUCGAACGGGAUGCUUUCGGGCAUCUAGUGGCGGACGGGUGAGUAACGCGUGAGGAUCUGCCUACAGGUUUGGGACAACAUCGGGAAACUGGUGCUAAUACCGAAUGUGCCGAGAGGUGAAAGGCUUGCUGCCUGUAGAGGAACUCGCGUCAGAUUAGCUAGUUGGUGGUGUAAUGGACUACCAAGGCGACGAUCUGUAGCUGGUCUAAGAGGAUGAACAGCCACACUGGGACUGAGACACGGCCCAGACUCCUACGGGAGGCAGCAGUGGGGAAUUUUCCGCAAUGGGGGGAACCCUGACGGAGCAACGCCGCGUGAGGGAGGAAGGCUUUCGGGUUGUAAACCUCUUUUCUCUGGGAAGAAGAACUGACGGUACCAGAGGAAUAAGCCUCGGCUAACUCCGUGCCAGCAGCCGCGGUAAGACGGAGGAGGCGAGCGUUAUCCGGAAUUAUUGGGCGUAAAGCGUCCGUAGGUGGUUAGACAAGUCUUUUGUCAAAGAGCGGAGCUUAACUCCGAUAGGGCGAAGGAAACUGUUUGACUAGAGAUUGGUAGGGGUAGAGGGAAUUCCUGGUGUAGCGGUGAAAUGCGUAGAUAUCAGGAAGAACACCAGUGGCGAAGGCGCUCUACUGGGCCAAUACUGACACUGAGGGACGAAAGCUAGGGGAGCGAAAGGGAUUAGAUACCCCUGUAGUCCUAGCUGUAAACGAUGGAUACUAGGUGUUAGGCGUAUCGACCCGUCUAGUACCGAAGCUAACGCGUUAAGUAUCCCGCCUGGGGAGUACGCACGCAAGUGUGAAACUCAAAGGAAUUGACGGGGGCCCGCACAAGCGGUGGAGUAUGUGGUUUAAUUCGAUGCAACGCGAAGAACCUUACCAGGGUUUGACAUCCCUCGAAUCGUUGGGAAACUGACGAGUGCCUUCGGGAGCGAGGAGACAGGUGGUGCAUGGCUGUCGUCAGCUCGUGUCGUGGGAUGUUGGGUUAAGUCCCGCAACGAGCGCAACCCACGUUUCUAGUUGCCAGCAUUAAGUUGGGCACUUUAGAGAGACUGCCGGUGACAAACCGGAGGAAGGUGUGGACGACGUCAAGUCAUCAUGCCCCUUACGUCCUGGGCUACACACGUACUACAAUGCUUCGGACAAAGAGCAGCAAGCCAGCGAUGGUUAGCAAAUCUCAUAAACCGAGGCACAGUUCAGAUUGCAGGCUGCAACUCGCCUGCAUGAAGGCGGAAUCGCUAGUAAUCGCAGGUCAGCAUACUGCGGUGAAUACGUUCCCGGGCCUUGUACACACCGCCCGUCACACCAUGGGAGUUGGCCACGCCCGAAGUCGUUACUCUAACCGUUCGCGGAGGAGGGCGCCGAAGGCAGGGCUGAUGACUGGGGUGAA
rnacentral:rRNA from 1 species